rnacentral:rRNA from 1 species
CCCUUAGAUGUUCUGGGCCGCACGCGCGCUACACUGAUGCAUUCAACAAGCCUAGCCUUGACCGAGAGGUCCGGGUAAUCUUUGAAACUGCAUCGUGAUGGGGCUAGAUUAUUGCAAUUAUUAAUCUUCAACGAGGAAUGCCUAGUAAGCGUGAUUCAUCAAAUCGCGUUGAUUACGUCCCUGCCCUUUGUACACACCGCCCGUCGCUCCUACCGAUUGGGUGAUCCGGUGAGCUGUUCGGCCAUAGCAAUGUUUCUUGAGCAGGGCAAUGAAUGUUUCGCAAACCUUGCCACUUAGAGGAAGGAGAAGUCGUAACA